AUUGAACGCUGGCGGCAUGCCUAAUACAUGCAAGUCGAACGAUUGGCGGACGGGUAAGUAAUGUCUGGGAAACUGCCCGAUGGAGGGGGAUUACUACUGGAAACGGUAGCUAAUACCGCAUACCAUCGGAUGUUCCCAGGUGGGAUGAGCUAGUAGGUGGGGUAAUGGCUCUCCUAGUCGACGAUCCCUAGCUGGUCUGAGAGGAUGACCAGCCACACUGGAACAGAGACAGGGUCCAGACUCCAACGGGAGUAAGCAGUGGGGAAUAUUGCAAAAUGGGCGCAAGCCUGAUGCAGCCAUGCGGCGGGUAUGAAGAAGGCCUUCGGGUUGUAAAGUACUUUCAGCGGGGAGGCGUUACCCGCAGAAAAAGGGCCGGCUAACUCCGUGCCAGCAGCCGCGGUAAUUC
rnacentral:rRNA from 1 species